GACUUUGAGAGUUUCGUAAGCAGAGGAGAAAAUGGCAGAAGGAUUAAGAGGUACGAGAAAUAUUCUCAAAACGCUGGAUGACAGUGAGUUAAUGAAAUGCUAAAGAGUUGAUGGUGCAGGGCUAAUAUUUGUGGUAGAUCUCUUAGAGAUACAUACAUUUCCCACCAACGCAAUAACUCUAUAACACCAGAAAUAAAAUGAUCACAACACUAAGAUAUUUGAACCGGAAAAAUGCAACAGUGCAGCAGUGAUGACUUGAGUCUGUGUCAACCUUCCAUCAGCAGAGUGAUCACACUGACAAUGACAACACUUUCACAGUCUCACAUUGUGAUGCAGUUCAUCUCAUUUCCACUGGGUGUCCACACCUUGCAGGCUCACACAGGGGUGUGUCUGUGACAACCAAUCACAACUGUUAAAAGAAUGCUUCAUACCUAGCAAGGGGGUCAACCACACCUCCUCACUAAGGUAAUACUUUCUGUCCCUUCCUUGCUCUUCUAAAUCACCCCUAAGCUAGGAAUCCUCACUAUUUUUUUAGGCUACGUUAAAUGUUCUCUGAGAGUUCUCAGAAUGGUUGUGAAUACAGCCCCAGGCCCCUGGGCACCAGUAUGCAAAAGGCCCCACCAACUCUCCAAUACAGAGAAACUCACCUGGCUUUAGAUCCUUCACAAGGGAAAUGUGACUCUGGAAAGACAUUUUAGUGGCAUUUCCCAUUGCUGGACUACGGCCUACCAGGAUGUCAUACCUACAGGACAGAGAUACUGAUCAGAAACUUGCCCCAAAGCUGAACACCUCCUCUGGAUUGUUGUGGUUCUGCACAAGUUGGCCGUUGGUGAGAGCGAGAUCAUCCCUGGGGUCACCGUUCAUCUUUCCCAGCAGUCCCA